rnacentral:rRNA from 1 species
ACGGAAGGCAGCAGUGGGGAAUAUUGCACAAUGGGGGAAACCCUGAUGCAGCAACGCCGCGUGAGUGAUGAAGUAUUUCGGUAUGUAAAACUCUAUCAGCAGGGAAGAAGAUGACGGUACCUGACUAAGAAGCACCGGCUAAAUACGUGCCAGCAGCCGCGGUAAUACGUAUGGUGCAAGCGUUAUCCGGAUUUACUGGGUGUAAAGGGAGCGCAGGCGGUCCUGCAAGCCAGAGGUGAAAACCCGGGGCUCAACCCCGUGAUUGCCUUUGGAACUGUAGGACUUGAGUACUAGAGGGGCAGGCGGAAUUCCUGGUGUAGCGGUGAAAUGCGUAGAUAUCAGGAGGAACACCGGUGGCGAAGGCGGCCUGCUGGACAGAAACUGACGCUGAGGCUCGAAAGCGUGGGGAGCAAACAGGAUUAGAUACCCUGGUA